rnacentral:rRNA from 1 species
CCUACGGGAGGCAGCAGUGAGGAAUAUUGGUCAAUGGGCGCGAGCCUGAACCAGCCAAGUCGCGUGAAGGAUGACGGCCCUACGGGUUGUAAACUUCUUUUAUCAGGGAGUAAAGUGCGGCACGUGUGCCUUUUUGUAUGUACCUUAUGAAUAAGGAUCGGCUAACUCCGUGCCAGCAGCCGCGGUAAUACGGAGGAUCCGAGCGUUAUCCGGAUUUAUUGGGUUUAAAGGGGGCGUAGGCGGGAUGUUAAGUCAGUGGGAAAAGUUUGGGGCUCAACCCAGGCGUGCCAUUGAAACUGGCGGUCUUGAGUGCGGGAGAAGUAGGCGGAAUGCGUGGUGUAGCGGUGAAAUGCAUAGAUAUCACGCAGAACUCCGAUUGCGAAGGCAGCAUACUAGAGCGCAACUGACACUGAUGCUCGAAAGCGUGGGUAUCGAACAGGAUUAGAUACCCCAGUAGUC